rnacentral:rRNA from 1 species
GCCCGCGGCUCUACUUAACAUGCAAGUCGAACGGUAGAGUAGCAAUACUCGAGAGUGGCGAACGGGUGAGUAAUAUAUCGGAACGUGCCCAACUGUGGGGGAUAACGUAGAGAAAUUUACGCUAAUACCGCAUACGAUCUAAGGAUGAAAGCGGGGGAUCGCAAGACCUCGCGCAGUUGGAGCGGCUGAUAUCAGAUUAGCUUGUUGGUGAGGUAAAAGCUCACCAAGGCGACGAUCUGUAGCUGGUUUGAGAGAACGACCAGCCACACUGGGACUGAGACACGGCCCAGACUCCUACGGGAGGCAGCAGUGGGGAAUUUUGGACAAUGGGCGAAAGCCUGAUCCAGCAAUGCCGCGUGCAGGAAGAAGGCCUUCGGGUUGUAAACUGCUUUUGUACGGAACGAAACGGUCCUUUUUAAUACAGAGGGCUAAUGACGGUACCGUAAGAAUAAGCACCGGCUAACUACGUGCCAGCAGCCGCGGUAAUACGUAGGGUGCGAGCGUUAAUCGGAAUUACUGGGCGUAAAGCGUGCGCAGGCGGUUAUAUAAGACAGUUGUGAAAUCCCCGGGCUCAACCUGGGAAUUGCAUCUGUGACUGUAUAGCUAGAGUACGGUAGAGGGGGAUGGAAUUCCGCGUGUAGCAGUGAAAUGCGUAGAUAUGCGGAGUGAACACCGAUGGCGAAGGCAAUCCCCUGGACCUGUACUGACGCUCAUGCACGAAAGCGUGGGGAGCAAACAGGAUUAGAUAACCCUGGUAGUCCACGCCCUAAACGAUGUCAACUGGUUGUAGGGUGCAUUUAGUACUCAGUUA